UGCCUCCAGCAUGAGAACACAUGGUUCCUUACCUGAACCUCAGCCCUGGCUUUUUUUUUCUUCAGAGCCUGCCAGUGAGUUAGAGAAGCCCCAGGGUUUGCUAGGGCAGCUGUGCUUCCAGGGAGAAGACCUCUGAAGGCUGCGCUGACAUGACAGCAGGUUUCCAACCUGGAUUUCAGCCUGGAACAGGACUGCUCUGAUUGAUUGCCAUGGAGAGAGCUGGAUCUGGGAGCUCAUCCGGAGCCAGACGAGGUGUCCCUGGCCUGGCCCACUGUGAAUGACAUCAACCUACCGAUGUCACCUCGACGUUUCCUCCUCAGAGAUACCCCCAGGUGUGGAUGAGAAGGGAGAGGGUACGGAGAAGGAGGACGCUGAGGGAUGCAGCCUGAUCAGAUGCUGAGGGAGAGAAGGACGAGAGGUGUUCCCCUGGGAUCUGCCCAGGGAGAAGCUCUCUGUGGAAAGGGCUUCAGUACCAUUCCUGGAGCAUCCCAUCAGUGGCAGGGCAGCAGUUUGUCUCUCUGUAAUCACCUUUUGCUGACUUUCAUCUCAGAAGGUAUUUCUCUGUUUCUCUCUUCUCCUCCCACCCCCGUUUUCUUCCCAGCGAGCCCUCUGUGGGGGGCUCUUUUCUAACAGGUGAUUUUGGGGGGCGAGAUGGAGCAGGUGCCUCCCCCGAGAGCCUGCAAGUCCCCACGAAGCACAAACUACCCUGAAGCACCAAUCUUUUGAGGAGACCAGUAACCUCAUUUCGUUUUUGACACAACAUCAGGACAAAUGCUCUGUGUCCUUCUCCCUUCUUGGUCACAGAUAAAUGAAAGAGAAAGUGAGUUUUCAGAGGAACAUGGCUCGUGUUUUAUGCUUAGAGUGACCUUGUCUGUGGUGCUCAAACAGUUUCUAUAUGGCCAGUAAAGAGAUCUUAGGCUUACGUGUGUGUGUACAUGCACAUGCAGAGGUACACACCACUGGGGAAGGACUGUCAGCAUAAGAAAUCCUGGAGGAAAAAUGCCCAUGACAAUGAAUUCAUAGCAAAUACACAAAAUACUAUACCCGGAUAGCCAGGAGAAAGGCCAUUGAGAGCACCUGUACCGAAGGGGAGAAGGCAGCGGAGCCUGUGAGCAUGUCCUGCUUCCUGUGCUGUUACACUGAUUCUAAACCCAGCAAAAUGGAGGAGAUACUCCAAACGGGUGGCUCUCCCAGAUGGGCUCAGCACCGUGUACACUGGGGGCAGGUCUGAACGCGAGCUCGACGGCAACUCUCUGCUGGGUCUGCCAAGGCUCCAGCUCCAAAGGGCUCCUCUGCGUCCUCCACCUUCUUUUUCAAGAGUAACAAAGACAUUUGAUUUCCUCCCACCCCUUUCUCUGGGCGCCCCUGCGCUCUCCCCCUCCCCCUCGCUGGCACUGGGGUUAUUUAUACAGAAUGUGGAAACAAUUUGCAGGAAAGCGAACAAUG